CUGAAUCUCAUACCAAAUCGGAAAAUAGAUUGGAUGACUUGAAUCAAAUGGGUUGUUUAUUCGAGGUUUCAGAGUGAUAUCUGCAUUCUUUGAUAGACAUGAAAAUAUGCCCAUUUGCAUGAUGUUUGGAAGAUUGGAGCAUGGGACGACGGAGGGCAGGCUACCUCUCUUGACGCUAGCGUGCCUUUACUCUAGGCGAAGACCCCAGGCGUGGAGGAGCUCUCAUUCGGACUCCGAGAAUCAAGCAUUGAGAUUUUCUCCUCCAGUUCUCACGGUCUCUUCCCUCUCGGCCCCUUCUCUAUUUUUUUUUUGUGAAUCUACCACUCUUGCUCUCUCUGGCGUGAGUCCAGGUGAGCCCUAACGCCUCCCUCCCGGUCUGUCUCCCCCUUUGCUCCAGGCAAUUUCCUCCCCAUUCAUGCGACCCAAAGCCUGACGCCCUCCGCCUCUCCCUGCUCGUGUGACCCAGCCCUCGACGCCGACUUUUUCCUUCCUCUCUAUAGUAUCUUGCGAGUUGAUCUUUGGAGAGCAAAGGAGCAUUGGAGCACUAGGUGAAGAGCAUGGACAGUCGAAUCCGAGCAUCAGUCGGCCCCAUUUAAUCCGAUGGGGGCAUUACGGGCGAAACCACCAGGUCAUAGCCCUCGGUGCUAUACCUCUUUUUGUAUUCUUCUUCAUUGGGGGCAAGAGUCUGAAGAACCUGAUUUUGAUGACGAAGAAGGAGAAGCUGCUCCAGUAGAAGCUACUGUUCGACUAAGACGACAUGCACCACCCUGAGCACCUGCACCAGCCUACCCUCACAAUGAUUUGGUUGAACGAUUCGAACAACUCUAGAGUCAUCUUGAAACUCACAUACAAGAGCAACAUCAACGACAUGAGGACGACAUGCGGUGGCUUGGGGAACAUUUUUCCUCAAUUGAUCAACAAUUUGUGUGUCUCCACCACUACUUCCAGCACCCACCACUUCCACCUCCAAGUGAUAUGGAUCCUCUUUUCUGAAGUGUAUCUAUUUUGUACUACCUUUCUUAGUGUUGUUCAUGACUCCUCUUUUUGGUGAUGUCAAAAGGGGGAGAAGUUUGUUGCUUAUGUUUUACUUAUGUUUUAGUUCAAUGAAAUGCAUUUUUCUUUUCAUGUUUAUUUCUUAAUGUUUUUAGAAAAAAACAUGCCAUGCAAAUUUGCUUACAACCAACAUUAUUUGACAUAAUCAAAAAGAGGGAGAUUAUUGCAAUUAAUGAUCCCUAGUCUGAGAUUUUGAUGUUGAAAAAUAAUGUCGUCUGAAUUACUAUUUAUUGAAUACCUUUGAUUUCUGAUAUUGUCUGUGAGUACUAACAUUUCAGGGAGAUCACAAGUUACUCAGGACAACAAG